rnacentral:ncRNA from 2 species
UUAUCCAGAGUGGCAGAGGGUACAGGCCCGAGGAAGCCACGACAACCGGUCCCGUAAGUAGUUUGGGGUGCCGGUGCCAACUCCUGCCCCGUAGAGGGGAGAGAUGAGAU